AUGCAGCAAACGCCGCGUGAGGGAUGACGGCCUUCCGGGUGUAAACCUCUUUUUAGCAGGGAAGAAGCGAAAGUGACGGUACCUGCAGAAAAAAGCGCCGGGCUAACUACGUGCCAGCAGCCGCGGUAAUACGUAGGGCGCAAGCGUUAUCCGGGAAUUAUUGGGCGUAAAGAGCUCGUAGGCGGUUUGUCGCGUCUGCUGUGAAAUCCCGAGGCUCAACCUCGGGCCUGCAGUGGGUACGGGCAGACUAGAGUGCGGUAGGGGAGAUUGGAAUUCCUGGUGUAGCGGUGGAAUGCGCAGAUAUCAGGAGGAACACCGAUGGCGAAGGCAGAUCUCUGGGCCGUAACUGACGCUGAGGAGCGAAAGGGUGGGGAGCAAACAGGCUUAGAUACCCUGGUAGUCCACCCCGUAAACGUUGGGAACUAGUUGUGGGGACCAUUCCACGGUUUCCGUGACGCAGCUAACGCAUUAAGUUCCCCGCCUGGGGAGUACGGCCGCAAGGCUAAAACUCAAAGGAAUUGACGGGGACCCGCACAAGCGGCGGAGCAUGCGGAUUAAUUCGAUGCAACGCGAAGAACCUUACCAAGGCUUGACAUAUACGAGAACGGGCCAGAAAUGGUCAACUCUUUGGACACUCGUAAACAGGUGGUGCAUGGUUGUCGUCAGCUCGUGUCGUGAGAUGUUGGGUUAAGUCCCGCAACGAGCGCAACCCUCGUUCUAUGUUGCCAGCACGUAAUGGUGGGAACUCAUGGGAUACUGCCGGGGUCAACUCGGAGGAAGGUGGGGAUGACGUCAAAUCAUCAUGCCCCUUAUGUCUUGGGCUUCACGCAUGCUACAAUGGCCGGUACAAAGGGCUGCAAUACCGUGAGGUGGAGCGAAUCCCAAAAAGCCGGUCCCAGUUCGGAUUGAGGUCUGCAACUCGACCUCAUGAAGUCGGAGUCGCUAGUAAUCGCAGAUCAGCAACGCUGCGGUGAAUACGUUCCCGGGUCUUGUACACACCGCCCGUCAAGUCAUGAAAGUCGGUAACACCUGAAGCCGGUGGCCCAACCCUUGUGGAGGAGCCGUCGAAGUGAUCCGUG
rnacentral:rRNA from 1 species